UACGUAGGGUGCAAGCGUUGUCCGGAAUUAUUGGGCGUAAAGAGCUCGUAGGCGGCUUGUCACGUCGACUGUGAAAAUCCGGGGCUCAACCCCGGACUUGCAGUGGGUACGGGCAGACUAGAGUGUGGUAGGGGAGACUGGAAUUCCUGGUGUAGCGGUGAAAUGCGCAGAUAUCAGGAGGAACACCGAUGGCGAAGGCAGGUCUCUGGGCCACUACUGACGCUGAGAAGCGAAAGCAUGGGGAGCGAACAGG
rnacentral:rRNA from 1 species